rnacentral:misc_RNA from 1 species
GAUGAAGAACGUAGCAAAAUGCGAUAAGUAAUGUGAAUUGCAGAAUUCAGUGAAUCAUCGAAUCUUUGAACGCACAUUGCGCCCGCUGGUAUUCCGGCGGGCAUGCCUGUUCGAGCGUCAUUUCAACCCUCAAGCCCCCGGGUUUGGUGUUGGGGAUCGGCUCUGCCUUCUGGCGGUGCCGCCCCCGAAAUACAUUGGCGGUCUCGCUGCAGCCUCCAUUGCGUAGUAGCUAACACCUCGCGACUGGAACGCGGCGCGGCCAUGCCGUAAAACCCCAACUUCUGAAUGUUGACCUCGGAUCAGGUAGGAAUACCCGCUGAACUUAAGCAUAUCAAUAAGCGGAGGA